GCUGGACUUGGCCGGGAAGCCAGGCACUUCCUGUUACCCGAAGCCUAAAUGCGGGGGCGACAGCCGGUUGAGGGCAACCAGGCCUCCAUAGGGUCCCUGUGGAAGCAAUGAAUCUCUGUCCUCCUUGGUCCUGGGUUUAUGCGUGCAUUUCCAAAGGGAGAUGCAUGCAUAAUCUGUCCGGUGAACCCGCCAGGCCCGGAAGGGAGCAACGGUGGCUGGAACCAAGGAUGCUAGGAGGGUGCGGGGACGAGUGGAAGCAGGGGGCAGCCCUAUGGGCGCCUGGUCCGAUUCCGGCGUGUCCAGCA
rnacentral:SRP_RNA from 19 species